rnacentral:misc_RNA from 1 species
AUGUGAGUGCAACCGAGUGGUCCCUUCUUCCUCGCACCCUCCUACCCACAUUCGCACAGACUGCCAUCCCCCCUCGACUCCCCUCCCUGCGCGUGUGCAUCGCUUAUCCCGUAUUAGGUGCUGAUCCCGCUCAUUGAUCGCGGCGCCCACUUUUUUGUUUUGGCGGGGAGCAUUUCUGCCGCGUACACCUGCUCGCUGCCUGCACGCUCGCACCGCCUCUGGCCGCGCUUCCGUUUUCCGUGCGUGACGUCCUGCUGCACAUCCGCAAACACCUUUGCACGGCAACACACACGACCCAGGAAAGGCGGAUGAUGAACACAUCGCUGUUGGUGCAGGAUGUGGACGAGAUCCAAUGCGCCGUGGAUCGAUGGUAUCGCCAGUCGUCGUCCAAUCUGCAAGCGAGCCAUGCUGCGUUCACUGCGCAGCUGCGGCAGCUGCAGGAGCGCCUCGGCCUUGACCCGGGCGCCCCGACGCUCAGCGCGCAUGUGGAUGCAAUGAUCACACCGCCUCGCCACAUGUACCUAUCGGAUGACAACAAUAGCGGCUCACCACCGAUGGCCUCGCCGCCCGUCAGCCGUGGCCAGCUCAACUACGACCAUCUGCUCGACGAAGUGGUCAGCAAAGGUGCAUCGAUGCCGCCCUUCAACCCCGAGGAGGAGGCAGAGCGGCGCCGGCGACCCAACGCGGAGUCGGUGAGAGCUCCUUCCACACCGCCGGAGGACUGCAACGGGCCUUGUCAGGUGCUGGUGGAGUUCAAGCGCAAGCGCAUACUGCAGUACGAAUCUCCCUACUACGUAGCCCCGGGCGAGCACGUCGUGGUCGGUGGCGACAGAGGAGAGGACAUCGGGCUCGUCACGCACACGUGGAGGGACGCGGAGGCUCACCAGCUCGGCGAGAACCGCGACAAGGGCGUAGGCAAGGUUCUGCGUGUUGCGAGCGUGCUCGAGGUGACGCAGUUGCAGGGUGUGCAGACAGAGCUUGAGACGCGCGCCGUGGAGGUGGCGCAGGAAAAGGUGCAGGAGAGCGGGCUGCCCAUGCGCAUCGUAGACGCCGAGUACCAAUUUGACCGUCGCAAGCUCACUUUCUACUACCAGUCCAUGCACCGACUCGACUUCCGCACGCUGGUGCGCGACUUGUACAAAACCUUCCGUGCCCGUAUCUGGAUGGAGCCUGAUACCUCGUCCUGACGCAAUAUAACGUGCGUGGGCGUGCCCGGCGGACUCCUCGUGCGAACGAAAAAUCACCGUGUAAAGGCGUUGUCGGAGAAGCGCCCGCUCGCUGCUGGUAGUGGUGCAGCUGGAUGGACAAGGAAACGGAACGAAACGAGAAGGCACCCGUCGAUGGCUCGGUGUGCGUUUUGCUCGAUUACACGGUGACGGAAAGUGAUUGUCUGGACGAGCACGAUGGCCUGCGUAUAGCAGUCAUGGGCGGCGAAGGCGGCACGACUGCCGAUGUGCUGACUGCGAUCGUAUUUCUCUCUUGUAGAUGCAACGCGGUACUCGCACGACAUGCGAGCGCCCUUCUCUUUCUUAGUUCAGUUCUGUUUUGCUAUCAAGCAUGGAUGCCGGUGUUGCCAAGUAUUGGGCGCGUGCGUGGCGAACAGACGGCAUAAGCGU